rnacentral:rRNA from 1 species
AUGGCGAUCGUCCUGGAUGCUUUUGCAUCCUACGUGCAAAAUAUGCUCACCGAGAUGGUGAGCGGAGAGAUGCACAUGCUGCUAGGAGUCACAGACGAGAUCGAGAAGAUGGAUGUUAAGCUUAAGGAUCUCAAGAACUUCCUUGCUGACGCUGAUAGGAGAAAUAUCACUGACAACAGCGUGCAAGAGUGGGUGGCCGAGCUCAAGCGUGCCAUGUAUGAAGCUGCCGACAUCCUCGACCUCUGCCAGCUCAAGGCCAUGGAGCAGGGUCCGUCCACUAAAGAUGUGGGGUGCUUCAACCCCUUGCUCUUCUGCAUGCGGAAUCCCUCCCAUGCCCACGACAUCGGCACCCGCAUCAAGGCGCUCAACAAGAGGCUCAGCGUCAUCAAGGAGCGAAGCGCUGCUUUUAGCUUCAUCCCUCUUGGUUCCUAUGAGGAUCGUAGCAGCAAGGUGCAAGCCUCUCAUUCUGGAAAUAAGAGACGCGAGACAUCAGGGGUGUUUGACCGGUCAGGUGUAGUCGGAGAGAAGAUCGAACAAGACACAAGAAAGCUAGUUGAGAUUAUGCUGAGUGAAGAGGAGGGCAACACCAACAUCAUGCUGGUCGCUGUUGUUGGUGUCGGCGGAAUCGGCAAGACCACUCUUGCCCAGAAGGUCUUUAAUGAUGAAGCCUUGAAUUCGGAGUUCGAGAAGAUGAUAUGGUUGAGCAUCAAUAAGGACUUUGACAAGGUUGAGUUGCUCAGGACAAUCAUCACGCAAGCCGGGGGAGUACAUGGUGGUGAAAAGGCGUUGGCUGUGCUUCAGCCAAUCCUUGCCACUACCUUGAAAGGGAAGAAGCUAUUCCUGGUGCUAGAUGAUGUUUGGAACCAUGGGGCAUGGGAUGAUGUGCUUAAAGCACCCUUGGCUAAUGAUGUGGCUCGAGGUAGCCGAGUCCUUGUCACUACUAGAGAUGAAAGAGUAGCUCGAGGGAUGAAAGCCGUGCUUCCAUACCACCAUGUCGACAAGUUGGAGGAGGAGGAUGCCUGGUUAUUGCUCAAGAAACAGGUAGUCUCAAGUGAGGCAGAUGCGCGUGAAAUUGAUAUUCUCAAGGACAUUGGGUUGCAAAUUAUAGCAAAAUGUGAUGGUUUGCCUCUUGCUGUGAAAGUAAUGGGAGGACUCUUGUGUCAGAAAGACAAAAAAUAUCAUGCGUGGGAGAUGGUUCUGCAUGACUCCAUAUGGUCGGUAUCUGAAAUACCUGAAGAGUUAAACCAUGCAGUACAUUUAAGCUAUGAAGAUUUGCCGCCUUGUAUCAAACAAUGCUUUUUGUACUACUGCCUUCUCCCUAAAACUGCAUUGUUCUUUCGGCAUAACAUCAUUGGCAUGUGGAUCAGUGAAGGAUUUCUUCACAGCUCAGAAGACUUGGAAGAAUUAGGAAGGGAGUACUAUAAGGAGUUGAUAUUGAGGAACCUGAUAGAGCCAAGCACAAAGUACACGGAUCAAGUUGCGUGCAACAUACAUGAUGUUGUUCGCUCGUUUGGUCAAUUUGUGGCUAGAGAUGAGGCACUAGCAGCCCAGAGUGGAGAAACUAGUUUUGUUAGCAAGCUUAAAGAACAAAAAUUUCUUCGGUUAUCUCUAGAAAGCCAAGCAUCAGAAUCAGAUGGGAUAGACUGGAGUUCCUUACAAGCACAACAGACAUUGAGAACACUAAUAUCAGUUGGCCACAUAAAUAUGAAGCCUGGUGAUUCUUUGGUUCGUUUUCCAUGCCUACGUACUUUCGAUAUAAAAUCUGCACAUGUUGUAGCAUUGCUUGAAUCUUUACAUAAACUCAAGCACUUGAGGUAUUUGUCCUUAGAAGAAACGGAUAUUCCCAGUCUACCAGAUUGCAUUGGAAAGAUGAAAUUCUUGCAGUACAUUAGCCUUAAAGGAUGCAAAGAAAUUGUGCAAGUUCCACAUAGCAUUGUAAUGUUAGAGCAGCUAAGGUAUCUCGACUUCAGGGGAACAAAUAUAACUGACAUACCUAUGGGGUUUAGUGUUUUAACAAACUUGAGGAUAGUACGUGGUUUUCCGGCCCAUGAGGAUGGUGAUUGCUGCAGUUUGGAAGAAUUGGGUCCUCUUUCUCGGCUCAAAGAUCUUGGAAUAAAUGGAUUAGAGAAGGUAACUGCUUCCUUGUCCGCAGCAAAGGCAAAGCUUGGCAAGAAGGUUCAUCUUACCAAGCUAUUCUUAGGUUGUAGUAGUAAACUGGGAAAAGAUAGGCAACGAAUUGAGCAGGUGUUUGAUGAGCUCUGCCCUCCGCCCAGGUUAGAAUUUCUUGAGAUCGGUGGAUACUUUGGCCGAUGGCUCCCAAGGUGGAUGAUGUCUUCAUCAGUUGUGCCCCUCAAGAGCUUGAGGAUUCUGUUCAUUACUGACCUGGCCUACUGCAGACAGCUUCCUGAUGGCUUGUGUCAGCUCCCCUAUUUGGAGUUCUUUAAGAUCCUCCGUGCUCCAGCCAUCAAGCGUGUUGGACCAGAAUUCAUGCAGCCCUACCAUCAGCACAGUCCUCGUCCUUCCCAGAUGGUGGCAGCAUUUCUGAGAUUGCAUGAGUUCUAUUUAAUAGGGAUGGUGGAAUGGGAGGAGUGGGAGUGGGAGGAGCAAGUGCGAGCCUUUCCUGUCUUGCAGCGUCUUAUGCUAAGCCGCUGCAAAUUGAAGUGUCUUCCUCCUGGCCUUGCCUCCCAGGCAAGGGCUUUGAAUAAAUUGUCCAUAUACCAUGUCCAGGGUCUCAUCUCUCUAGAGAACUUUCCCUCUCUGGUUGAGCUGGAUCUGGAUCAAGUCCUUGACCUGGAGAUGAUCACUAAUCUUCCAAGACUGCAGAAGCUUACCAUCAAAUACUGCCAAAAGAUGAAGGCGGUGGAAGGUGUUCCUCUGCUCCAGAGGCUCUUUCUCUCGGAUAACAACAUGGAAACAAUCCCAGAAUACAUGGGAGGUAUAAACCCAAGGCAGUUGGAGCUAUACUGCAGCCCAGCGCUGCUAGCUUCCAUAGCUGCGGGAAAAUCUGGCCCUGAGUGGGACAAGUUCAGCCAUGUUGAACAUGUCAAGACGUAUGCAAGUCAAGGAGAUAAUUCAAGGAAAUGGUAUGUCUUCUACACAGCUAAACCCUACAGCUUGGAGACAAAUGUCAGCGUUUCAUUCAUGUCCAGAGGAACCUUAACUUCUUUUGAGGACACACAGAGAUUUGAGUCUGUCUUCAAAAUGACAAGAAAAACCUUUAGCUACAUCUGCAGUUUGGUGAUGGGGCCGUCAAUGAAAGAUAUGAACAGGUACACCUUUGUUGACGGGAGGGUACUGUCUUUAGAAGAUUGGGUAGCCGUUGCUCUGAAAAGGUUGCAAUCUAGUGAGCCAACAGAGAUCAUAGGAUCCUCUUCUGGUGUUAACGAGUCAACCAUCUUGUUGGUAACUGAGAGGUUUGUUGCUAACUUGCUCGAGCGAGCAAAGAUCUGGUGCUGGCCAGGGUCCAGCGCAAUGGAUAAGAUCAAAUCCAUGUUUGGCAAGAUCCACAAUAUGCAUAACUGUUGUGGUGUUAUAUGCACAACCAAUGUCCCAUUUGUAUCAAAGUGCGACCAUGAGAAGAAACAGAGCACUCAGAUGCAAGUCGUGGUUGAUCCAGGAAUGAGGUUCAUGAACUACAAGGUAGAUAGCAUGAACCAGUCGACCCUUUUGCAGGAUUCUGAAAUCUUCCAGGGGGCUGAGAUGGGCUUUUGGCUGAAUGGCAACAAGCUGAAGGUAUCAGUAGAUGGAUCAGAAAUCGGGGAAUACAUAAUUGGCGAUGAAAGUUACCCUCUUCUCCCAUGGCUACUCACACCUUACCAGGAAGAAGACCUCUCGGAUUCCAAGGUGGAGUUCAAUCGGAGACACUCUGCAACGACAACCUGUGCGUUGAAGGCGAUGGCUAGGUUCAAAGGCACAUGGAAGUACCUGCAAGAAGAGACGUGGUGGCCGGUCAAUCCUGACAGUGUAGUUAAGAUAAUCCGUGCCUGCUGCAUGCUGCACAACAUAGUCAUAGAUAUGGAGGAUGAUGCAGCCAUGCCGAGGUCUACAUCUGAGGAUUGGGACUGCUAUGAGGAAGUGCGCCAGUUAGCAAAUGAGGACGCUGUCUGGGCAAGGGAUAUGCUGUCGCAGUACUUCUUGACCACCAUGUCAUCCGAAUCGGGAGUCGGCCCGGUGGAUGUAGGGGAGGACGGUGAAGUAGCUGCAACAGGCUCAGGGGAUGAAAGCAGGGAACAAGAAGCAGAGACAACAACAGCAGAGGAAGAGAGGCAAUGUUAG